rnacentral:lncRNA from 1 species
UUUAUCAUUAUUUACUAGUUUUAUGGAAUGUGCUCUUAAAUCAUUGUUGUCUUCUUCACGUUUUCUUUGAUUACCUAGUUUAAAAUGAGUGGCCCGAUAUCACAAGUGAUCGUUUGCGAGCACAAUUCUCCUUUGAAAUUUUACGAAGGUAUUUUAGGUGCACUCGGGACUGACAAUGUUGAUAGUGAAUUACCUUUGAAACCUUUUACUGAAUGCGGACUCGGUACCACCAAUAACAACACCUUGACUAUCGGGGCAGUGUCUAAGGUUUACCCUUUAAAAAGGCAUGUAGAUUCAAAGGGUGCUGUCAAGCCUCUCAAGAUCAUCAUUCUGGAAGGAGCUCUUAAAAAGGACAAAGAGAAAAAAUCGCACCUGCGUGUCAUGCUUUUCAAUAAAUGUGCUGAAGAGCUAGAAAGCGCCAAAGUUAAAAAAGGAAAUCUCAUUGGAUUUUAUGGAUUCCAUGUCAUUCCAAACGGUUCUGUAGAUUAUUCAAAAAUGUAUUCAAAACAGGAAUUUCUUCUGGAGUAUCAAAUCGCUGUCAAAUGUCAUCCAAAGAGAAGGGUGAAAAUGUUCUUCACAACAACGAGCUUGGAGACCACCUCUCAACUUGAUUCCAUUGAACAAACCAAAGAAUCAAAGAAUGAUAAGGUAAAGAUCACUAAAAGACCCAAGCUCCUCCCCUUAAGUCCUCAGCGGUCUUAUUAUGAGCCUCCAGAACCUAAAAGGAGCAAAAAUGAUGAAAGCAUACAUAUAGAGCUGAGUGAUUCUGAUGAAGGAGAUAAGGAAUAA